AGGCCGAGUAAAUGAUGCCCGUGAUGUAAAUAACUUGGCUCGGCUCACUGUCAGCUCUGUUGAAAAGGUGUUGAAUGGGUAGACUCCUCCAAUCCAUGCAGUAUGUUAAAUACUGUUGUAGGUCCUUAUGCAAAUGGGUGAACCUGCUAGUGUUUUAUCACAUAUCAUAUAUUUUACUCUAUUUUAUUCUCAUGGAACAGAAAACUUUAUUACUUUCUGAUUGGGGUGCAAACCGAGUGGAACUCGGCCCAGAAAUGUUCUUGACAUGAGCAAGAGAAGUCUAUGGAGUCAUUUUACCCAAAAGAAUAGG